rnacentral:rRNA from 1 species
GGGUGCGAUCAUACCAGUGUUAAUUCACCGGAUCCCAUCAGAAUUCCGCAGUUAAGCGCACUUGGGCUAGAGUAGUACUGGGAUGGGUGACCUCCCGGGAAGUCCUAGUGUUGCACCCU